UUUCAAUACAUUUAUAGGAAUUUGAAAGCAUAGGUGCCAGUUCAGAAACACAACCGAAUAGUGAACAUGAUGUUCAAUUUGCUGAUGUUUUGACUCAAGGUGAUAUGACCCAGGGGGAUUUGGAUGGAACCUCAAGUUGACAAGGGGCAUGUUUUGAUGAAGAUUUUCAUUGUUAUUCCUAAUCUUGCUACCCAUAUAUAUGGUCGUUGGUGUAUGGCCGACCUUCAUGUUUUUGAAAGAAGGGAAGAUUGUGGACAAAGUGGUGGGAGCAAAGAAAGAGGAACUGCAGCAGACUUUACAAAGAAAGAGGCCAC